rnacentral:rRNA from 1 species
CCUACGGGAGACUGCAGUGAGGAAUAUUGGUCAAUGGGCGUAAGCCUGAACCAGCCAAGUCGCGUGAGGGAUGAAGGUUCUAUGGAUCGUAAACCUCUUUUAUCAGGGAAUAAAGUGCGGGACGUGUCCCGUGUUGUAUGUACCUUAUGAAUAAGGAUCGGCUAACGCCGUGCCAGCAGCCGCGGUAAUACGGAGGAUCCGAGCGUUAUCCGGAUUUAUUGGGUUUAAAGGGUGCGUAGGCGGCCUUUUAAGUCAGCGGUGAAAGUCUGUGGCUCAACCAUAGAAUUGCCGUUGAAACUGGGAGGCUUGAGUAUGUUUGAGGCAGGCGGAAUGCGUGGUGUAGCGGGGAAAUGCUGAGAUAUCACGCAGAACCCCGAUUGCGAAGGCAGCCUGCCAAGCCAUGACUGACGCUGAUGCACGAAAGCGUGGGGAUCAAACAGGAUUAGAUACCCCAGUAGUC